UUAACUCAAGUAAAAAUUUGACUAAACAACUUUCACUUGUAGUGAAGUAAUAUUUGACCAGGGGUAUCUGUACUUUGACUCAAGUAAUGGGUUUGUGUACUUUGUCCACCACUGGCGAGGGAUCCCUGCCACUGUGAACACGCGGUGGAAUUGAACUCUCCACCAAAUCAAAGCAGUGCUCUCGUUCAGCCAUCAGGAACUGUGCCAUGUUGUUCAGGGCACAGGCCACAAAGAGCUGGUCUUUUCAGUUAGAGAGUGGAAUCUAAUGAAGGAGCUGUAUGAUGUCCUACAGCCAUUUGCCGAGGCCACUGAUCUCACACAGGGUGAGAAGAUUGUGACAGUCAGUGCCGUUCUCCCCUGUGUGUUAUUCCUAAACCACCAUUUGGAGAAACUAAAACAGCAGGUUUGCUUUCUGGGAAGCAUGGUCAAGAGCCUCCAGGGAUCGCUCAAGAAGAGAUUCUGGGGGAUCUUUGUUAACGUCAGAAUGUCAGCAGCAGCACCAGGAGAAGAAUCACUGCCAUUUGCAGACCCACUCUACAUAAGAGCAGCUGUCCUGGACUCAGCAUUCUCAAUGAUGUGGCUUCACCACGAUGUCCUUGUCAAUGAUGACCCAAAGAAUGAAGUUGCUGACAUGGUGAAAGAUUUGAUUUUACGUGAGGUGCCAUCUGACUAAACACUCCCGAGUCCCGAGUCCCAAGAUCUGGAGCAGCAGGUGGAGGAGAGCACUGGGUUAUUCUCAGAAUACAGAAAGCGCCGCAAGCAGGACACAACUAGAAGUCCAGAGACACAGUUGAAUAACUAUCUUGGCCUUUGCAGUGGGCAGGGUUGUCUCUCAUAUUGGGAUGCAAAUAGGAACACCCUCCCUGCACUUUUCCCGGUUGCACUGAGAGUGCUUGCAGUGCCAGCAUCAAGCGCCCCAGUUGAGAGGGUCUUUAGCCAUGGUGGGAUCAUUACGAGGCGACAUCAUGCUCGGCUCGGAGAUAAGACCCUUUCAAAUCUCAUAUUUUGCAAAUGCAACACCUUUUAAAAAGGAAAUGUUUAUGAAUUAUGAAAAGUAACAAAGUUUGAUGUUGUAGUCUGGCUGUCAGUAUUUCACUGUUUAAAAGUGAUGGGGAGUGAAUAUUUUUUUGAUUGAGAAGAAAUUAAGAAAUAAAUAAGCUUUUAUAAAGUU